rnacentral:lncRNA from 1 species
AUAACGAAUCAAAAAUCAAUAAACGAUAGUACUUCAAUACACACGCAGAAAUUCACGAGAAGUCAACACACCAUCUUUGGGCUCGAAAGUUUCAAAUCAUGCUUGUUGGGCCUAGCUAGCCCAAUGACAUGAUCUUUAGGCCCGAAGGGAACGCGCUUACAUGUUAUUGGGCCUUAUAUGACCUAGUUCCGUGUAAAAGGACUUUCAAUAGCUUUAUUGUGUUGUUGGGCCCCAAGGGUCCUUUGGUACUGCUAGCAAAGUCAAGAAGUCAAAUGCGAGUCGGGCCAAGUGCCUUUCGCAUUCACGAUAGCCUUGAACGACUCAUGGAAAUAACGGGGGCUUCGUACCCUCUUUUCUCCUCGGUUGUGGGGCUAUGAGAAGUCAGGGUGGUUGGAUUAAGUGAGUAGUACGGACGACGCCUAAGGGAUCGUUUGUAUAGUUGUAAACUAGUCAUUUUCAUUAAUGCGUGAUUAUAACGACUCACAACCCAUAAUUAAUCCAAUGUCACCUGGAAUUAUCGAAAACAACGUCGUAUCGGAAUAACACUAACUCAGCCACGUAAUUUAAUGUAUUGGGAAAACAUCGGGUUUUCCUGGGAAAUUCAACGCUCUUAACUAUGUGAUAUAUACAAAGUUUAACAAUUAUUCACAUUCAUAAUAAUCAACAAGCAUACUUACGGAUCUUCACACUUUUUCUUAUAUACAACAUUUCUUUUUAGAAAAUAUCGGAUUUUCUGUGGUUUUCAAAAUUAUACAAAUCAUUUCUUUUCAAACCUUACUUAUGAACUCACCAACAUUUCAUAUGUUGACGUUUUUCCAAAAUACUUGUAUUCUCAGGUAACAGGAAAUUCGAAGGAAAAAUGUACCCAGUGAUGUCAUGUUGUUUGUUUAAUUAGUAUCGAACAAUUUACGUUUUGGAAAUGUAAUGUUUUGAAACAAUGUACUAAAUGUAAACAAUACCGGUUGUAAUAUUUCAAUGCAUGGUGAUGAAUGAUGUUAUGUUUCAUGUAUAUUCAUUGUGAUGGUAUUCAAUUGAGUCACAAUAGCCCUCGGACGUUUCCGCCGUCUGGUUCGGGGGUGUGACAGGUUGGUAUCAGAGCUCUGUUUAUAGUGAACUAGCAUAUCUAGCCACACAUUGAUAUGCAACUAUAAACCAAAAGAGGGACUAACACAACUCUGAACAAAACAAGUAAAACAUAACAAUAAAACACCCUUGCUUGUAUUAGGAACGAGAACCUAACACCGAAUCAAACAAGAUAAUGCUAGUAUCUCGGUUAAUCCAGGACUGUUCUUAGUUGUAUCAAGGAACGGAUGUAGCCUGAUCAACUACAUUCCUACCAAGGUAUCACUACCACACGUCCUGAGGAGAUCGUGAUAGCUAGGGAACCUAAAAACAUACCCCUUUAUCACCAAAAAGAGAACGUCUGUUUAGUCUGUACAAUAGUUGUAGCAUCCUAGGAAUAAUGUUAGCAUAUUUACACACUCUCGCAGACAGCAUGGCUGGUUUCCAUCACCCCGGAGAUCCUUACUUCCCUAACCAGGGAAAUAACGGAUGGAUCGACGAAGAGCCUGAAGAAGAGCCUGAGGAAGACCCCGAGGAGGAAUCUGACGGGGAACCGGAGGCAGGAGCCGAGGGCGAGCCUGCCGAACCAGAAGAAGAUGAAGGAAACUUUGAGGAGGAACCUGACGACAGCGAAGGGGGUGAUUCGGACGCGGAGUCCGAAGUCAUCAACCCCCCUUACCCGAUUAGGGUGCCUGCUUACCGGGUAGGCCCCACUGGUCCUACACCCCCCUGGGGUAUUGAUCUUUGGAGAUGGAGCAGACAGCAGGGACAACGACCCCCGUUCGGCAUGUCACGCGAGUUCUUUGACCUGAGGGACGGAGGACCGGCCGAUCGAGCCCUUCCGGUCAUGGUGAGACGGUUACGGAACACUGGCGACCUUGCUCAGAGCACCGCCGACCAGGUACGCCAACUGUGGACUAGGGUCGAGCGUGCAGAGCAGGAGACACGAGACGUCCUUCGAGAGUUCCAUAUGAGGCAGGUGAGGUGGGAGUCUCGACUCCAGGAUGCAGAACGAUAGGUGGCUCGUCUUCAGGGAGCAUCCACUUCCUCAGCACCACCCCCGGGCACAACUCAUCGCGAUUAGGGAUAGGCUUAUUUGACUAGGCUAUUAGGAUCUAUGCUAUGUACCCCGACUCAAUGUUUAAGUGACUACACUACUCAUAGAGCCAUUAUGCUGCCGAACUAAUAUCACUUAUGUAUGCUCUUUCGAGCAAAAUUUUCAUGUAUCAAAUGCGGAUAAUAUUAGUGAACUUUUAAGUGUUUUAUUAUGACAUUACAAAUUGCUACGUGUUGCAAAUCCAUGAUUGUAUGCUAAUUUGUAGAAGUACUUAAGUUCGUACCAUGCACCUAGUCAGUAGGAUCACAACCUCACAGAACCCACAAACACUCAACAUCUUUCCGUUUCAUGACAGAAAGAUGCCUCGCCGACCUUCUCGUGGAAACCCUGGACCAACCCCACCCGAAGAUGACUCCACUGCAUUCCAGGUAGCCGUAUCUGCUACGGUCACCACAGCUAUGGCACAAAUUCACCAAGGGAACAACGGAGGAGGCAACGGGCAAGGGGCCGGGAGUUCGAACAACGGAAUGAAUCAAGGACCCACCAAAAGCUGUACGUACAAGGACUUCACGAACGCCAAACCACGAACCUUUAACGGCACCGGAGGAGUGAUCACCCUGAAACGAUGGAUCGAGAAGGUGGAAUCGGUGUUCGAGAUAUGCGAUUGCCCUGAAGAGAUGAAAGUAAAGUUUGCUGCAUGCACUUUUGUCGACCAAGCGCUCACUUGGUGAAACGGGCACGUGGAAGACAUGACACUCCCCGUAGCCAAUUCCAUGCCAUGGACAGAAAUGAAGGAAAUGCUGAUGUUCGAAUACUGCCCUCGUGGUGAGAUUCAGAAAGUGGAGCAAGAGCUGUGGAACCUCACUGUACGGAAUGCUGAUAUCGAUGCCUACAUAUCCAGAUUUAGUGAACUAUCUCUGUUAUGUCCGGGCAUGAUCACCUCGGAAGGAAAGAAGAUUGAGCGAUUCAUCUGGGGACUAACCUCUCCGAUCCAAGGAAACGUGAUAGCUGCAAAUCCCGAAACUUUCGACAGUGCUAAGAGAUUUGCAAAGAAACUGUAUGAACACAACAACAAGAAGGGUGAGAAACCAGCAUUGGCUGAAGGCAAGAAGGAAGGUGAUGGCAAGAAGGGGAAGAACAACACGAGGAAGGGGCGUCAAGGCCCCGAGACUUCUAAGAAGCAGCAGACAGCCCAUUANAAGUUCCGGCCACACCACAUGCUCCAUCCUCAGCUGCUUCGAAUGCUCCUAGACCUUAUUCUGGUAAUCUUCCCAAGUACAAGAAGUGCGGUUUCCAUCACAAUGGAGAGUGAAAGGAGCUGCAGUGCACCAGUUGCAAUCGGAAGGGGCACACGGCAAGGUAUUGCAGGACUUACCCUCCUUAGAAUCAACAAUAGGGAAACAACAACAACAACAUCAACACCGGCGGCAACAAUGCAAGGCCUAGCCACACCUGCUAUGGGUGUGGGAGGACUGGGCAUUUCCGCCGAGAUUGUCCUAACAAGAACAAUCCCGGAAAUGGAGGAACAGGAACGGUGCUGACUAUGGGUCAGGGGGAGGCGAUUCAGGAUCCCGCUGUUGUUACCGGUACGUUUCUCUUAAACCACACAUAUGCAUGCAUCCUAUUUGACACUGGAGUCGAGCGAUGUUUUGUGAGCAAUAAGUUUAAACAUUUAUUAAAACAACAACCCCAGAAGCUCAAUGAAACCUUUACGGUGGAAAUGGCCAAUGGGAAAACCGAAUCUACUGGGGAAAUCUACACCUGAUGUACCCUAACCUUAAAUCAACACGUCUUUCGAAUAGACUUAAUGCCUGUUUCCAUUAGGAGUUUCGAUGUGAUUAUUGGCAUGGACUGGUUAAGCCCCCACCAUGCUGAAAUUAUGUGUCACGAGAAGGCCGUUCGCCUUCACCUCCCCAAUCACGAAACCCUAGUUAUUUACGGAGACAAACCUAGCACGAACCUUCGCCUCAUCUCGUGCAUCCAGGCACAGAAGCAUCUACGAAAGAACGAUUUGACGUUUCUGGCUCACAUAGUGGAUAAAACCAAGGAAGAGGUUAACAUUCAAGACAUUCCCGUAGCACGUGAAUUCCCAGACGUAUUUCCUGAAGAUCUUCCUGGAGUACCCCCAGAGAAACAAUUUGAGUUCCGAAUUGACCUCGUUCCAGGAGCAACCCCUCUCGCUAAAUCGCAUUACCGGCCACUCCUGCUGAAAUGCAGGAAUUGUUCAGCCAACUCAGCGAACUCCUGGGCAAGGGAUUCAUCCGACCCAGCUACUCGCCAUGGGGAGCUCCGGUCCUCUUUGUCAAAAAGAAGGACGGAUCUUUUAGAAUGUGCAUCGAUUACAGGGAGUUAAAUAAACUCACUGUCAAAAAUCGCUAUCCACUCCCAUGAAUCGACGAUCUAUUUGACCAGCUCCAAGGAGCUAGUUACUUCUCUAAGAUAGAUCUACGGUCCGGGUACCAUCAACUCAAGGUCCUGGAAGAGGAUAUUCCUAAAACCGCUUUCCGAACUCGUUACGGACAUUAUGCAUUUGUCGUAAUGCCCUUUGGUUUAACGAAUGCCCCUGCCGCAUUUAUGGACCUUAUGAACCGAGUCUAUCGGCCAUUCCUCAACAACUUUGUUAUCGUCUUCAUUGACGACAUCCUAGUCUAUUCCCGAAAUGAAGAAGAUCAUGGCCAACAUCUCCGACAAAUCGUAGAAACUCUGCGAUCAGAAAAACUAUACGCAAAACUCUCCAAGUGUGAGUUCUGGCUCCGUAGCAUGAACUUCCUAGGUCAUGUUGUUAGUCAAGAAGGAACUCAUGUGGAUCCUUCCAAGGUCAAAGCCGUCGAAGGAUGGGCAGUCCCGAUAACACCCACAGAAAUUCGUCAAUUCUUAGGCCUGGCAGGCUACUAUAGGAGGUUCAUUCAAAACUUCUCUAAGAUCUCCAAGCCACUUACCUCACUUACACAAAAGGGCGUACCAUUCAAAUGGACGGACAAACAAGAAGUUGCAUUCCGAACCCUGAAGCAGAUGCUCUGCAGCGCCCCGGUACUAUCUCUACCAGAGGGAACAUAAGAUUUCGUGGUCUACUGUGACGCGUCAAAUCAGGGUUUAGGUUGCGUUCUCAUGCAGCGUGGAAGAGUGAUAGCUUACGCAUCCCGCCAACUAAAAACGCACGAAGUGAAUUAUACGACCCAUGACCUAGAAUUGGGAGCCGUGGUCUUUGCCCUGAAGAUUUGGAGGCAUUACCUUUAUGGUACAAAGUGCACCAUCUUCACAGACCACAAGAGCCUCCAGCACAUCUUGAAUCAGAAAGAGCUGAAUAUGAGGCAACGAAGAUCGGUGGAGUUAUUAAAUGAUUACGAGUGUGAAAUCAGGUAUCACCCAGGCAAGGCCAAUGUAGUAGCUGAUGCAUUGAGCCGGAAAGAGUACUCUAAUCGUCGUGCGAAAACUCUCUCGAUAACCAUCCAAUCUCACCUAACCACUCAGAUCGGGGUAGCCCAGUCAGAUGCCAUGAAGACGUAAAACAGAGCAAGCGAAGCAUUACGCAGAAUGGAAAAGAACCUAGAGGUGAGAGAAGACGGAGUAUACCAUUUCAUGAACCGUAUUUGGGUCCCUAAACUCGGAGGAUUUAGGGAGGUAGUCAUGAAGGAAACCCACAAGACGCGAUACUCCAUCCAUCCUGGCUCGGACAAGAUGUAUUUGAAUAUUAAACAACACUAUUGGUGGCCUAACAUGAAGGCAAAAAUUGCCACCUAUGUUGGUAAGUUCCUUACUUGUGCCAAGGUAAAGGUGGAAUACCAGAAGCCCUCAGGAUUAUUACAGCAACCGGUGAUUCCUGAGUGGAAGUCGGAAGGGAUUUCUAUGGAUUUUGUGACCAAGCUACCCAAGACGCCGGACGGAUUAGACACUAUAUGGGUAAUAGUUGACCGACUGACGAAAUCCACCCAUUUCCUGCCAAUAAAAGAAUCCUACAAGAUGGAGAGACUGACGCGUUUAUACAUUCGAGAAAUCGUGAGACUUCAUGGAAUACCAGUGUCUAUCAUCUCAGAUAGAGACAGUAGAUUCACUUCACAUUUUUGGCAAUCACUUCAAAAAGCACUCGGAACCCAUCUCGACAUGAGCACCGCUUAUCACCCACAAACGGACGGUCAAAGCGAACGAACCAUUCAGACGCUCAAAGACAUGCUUCGCGCAUGUGUGAUAGACUUUGGGAAGUCUUGGGACAUCCGCUUACCCUUAGUUGACUUCUCUUAUAACAACAGUUCCCAUUCGAGCAUCAAAGUCGCUCCUUUCGAAGCACUAUAUGGACGUAAGUGUAGAUCACUGUUGUAUUGGGCUGAGGUGGGCGACACCCAGCUAGCAAAGACACUAGCAUCGGACAAGGUGCUAACGGCACCGGAGAUCAUUCGUGAAACCACAGAAAAGAUAGUUCAAAUCAGAGCUCGAUUACAAGCAUCGCGCGACCGACAAAAGAGCUACGCCGAUAAACGGCGAAAGCCCUUAGAGUUUCAGGUCGGGGAUCGAGUGCUGUUAAAAGUCUCACCUUGGAAAGGACUCAUUCGUUUCGGAAAACGAGGAAAACUAAACCCACGAUACAUUGGACCUUUUGAGAUCGUUGCCCGAAUAGGUCCAGUGGCGUACAAACUGUAGCUACCCGCGGAGCUAAACAAUGUACACCCCGUGUUCCAUGUCUCCAAUCUAAAGAAGUGCCUAUCAAAUGAAACACUCGUCAUUCCCCUUGACGAGAUCGAAAUCAACGAGAAUCUCCUGUUCGUUGAAGAACUAGUCGAAAUCAUGGACAGGGAGGUGAAGCGUACUAAGCAAAGUCGCAUCCCGAUCGUGAAAGUAUGGUGGAACGCGAAGCGUGGGCCAGAAUUCACGUGGGAACGCGAAGACCAAAUGAAGCAAAAGCACUCUCAUCUAUUCUAGAAUUCUCAAAUCUAGCUUUCAAAAAGAAUUUCGGGACGAAAUUCCCUCUAACGGGGGGAUGAUGUCACAACUAGAAAUUUUUGUGCCUUGUAAACUACAACAACUAAGUCAAAUUGUGAAUCAAAGACAUGAGAGCAUGUAUGAUGCAUACUCUAUAACAACAGAAUUUCAAUCAAACACCUCAUACAAGCAUUUCAAUGUAGUCAUUAAGCAAUUGGAAACCCUAGGUGCUUGUUUAAGUCCAUUAUGGACUAGGACUUCCUUAUUGGGCCCAAUGGACCAAUAAGCUUCCAAUUUGGCUACCUUGGGCUUAGAACUCUUAAAUGGGCUCUAAUUGGACCCACUUUCAUUCAUUUUAACAUUUUGGGCCAUAUUGGGCCUAGAAUGAAAUAAAACACCUUAAUGGACCUCAUUGGGCCAUAACUAACCUAAUUAGCCCUAAUGGGCCAUAAGAAUCAUAUUUAUAUUUAUUUGGGCCGUGAAUUACUCUAAAAGGGCCAAUGGGGCGAAAACCAUUAACUUGGACUCCAUAUUAUGGACUUAAACAUAAAAGGCCCAAAUCUCCAUCUCUCUUCUCUAUCUCUCGGCCCAAACUACAAACCCAAGAAGAAGGGUUGACUUUGCUUGCCACCUCAUUUUUAUAUGGAGGAUAUCUAAGCUUUUGCACUUCAAACAUCCAUGCAAUCUCAUCUUCCCAUGCAAGCACUUCUCUUCUUCUCCCUUUCUCUCUUGCUCUCGGCCGAUUCCAAGCACACACACACACAUUUCACUCACUAUUCUCUCAAGAAACUCUCUCAUUUCUCCUCCAUAUUUUCGAGAUCUAAGGAGCUUUCAAGAAGAUAUCUCCACAAAUUCUUCAUCUAAGGUAAGAUCAAGUUUGGAUCUAUGAUCUAGGUUCUUUGUUUUAUCAAAAAUCUCCUUCUAAUCCAUGUAAAAAUCAUUAUCACUCUCUUAGAAACCCUCUAAGUUCGAGAUCUCCAAGGAAGGUUGCUAAGGCCGAAUUUUCUUCUCAUUUUCUUCCAAAAACCGAAACCACACCCAAAGGUGAGCUUCAUACCCCCUCUUUUUCGGUUUUUAUAAGUUUUGUGGGGGAGAAUACAAGCAAAUGUGUAGAUCUAUGAGUAUAUGUAUGCUUUGUGUGAUUUCUAUGCUUAUAUGUAUGAUCUUAUGUGAUUGUGGUGUUUGUACUAGUCAAAAAGAACUUAAAAACCGAGAUCUACAAUAUGAUGAAUGAAAUAAGUAUAACUUAUACCAUUUCACACUAAUCAAGUCUAGAAAAAUAACCAAGUUGGUUAAUAUGAACAUUUUUGGACUUAAAACCCAUUUUUGGGCUCAAAAUGCUAAAAAUACAAAACUAAAGGGCCCAAAACGACAAUAUACGAAUUCUGAAGGUUGAGAUGAGUCUAAACAGUUUCUAAUGUGUAUUUUCUGAAUAUCAACACUUUUGAGGGGUUAAAAAUAUGAAUUUUAAACAUAAUGGGCCAAAAUGGGCUUUUCGGCCCAAUAAAGCCCCAAAUUGCGAGAUUUUUGAUUUGGAGGGGCUGAAACUGCACAUUUCUAUAUAACAGGGGAUUACUAGUGUACCAAGUCCAUUUCAAGGGUCAAAAUGCUUUUCAAAUUAAAAAGGGACCAAAGAUGCAAAAAAAUUUCCAUUUUGGGCCAAAAUUGUAAAAGUUGCGAAAAUGGAGGUUUCAACCAAGAAAAUUUCAUUUUUGAAGGACUUAAGCUGUUUAUCAAGUAAAUUUGUGCUAAAAAUGUCUUUCCAACAAGUUUUGAUACUAAAGUGUCAAGAAAAAUAGUUUAAGGACUAAAAUGGAAAUUCUUUUAUACACAAAGGGUUAAAAGUGUAAAGUUUAUCCAAGAAAGGACUUUAAAAAAAAGGAAUAAAUAAACUCUAACUCGUACAACAACAAACCCCCUUACGAUUAAAAUACGAGUACUAUGUCUACCGGCGAAACGUAAUAAUAAAUACACCUUCAACACCAAAAUCGUUAUCAAACGAAUUGAUUCGCUCUCGAAUCAAUAACGAAUCAAAAAUCAAUAAACGAUGGUACUUCAAUGCACACGCGGAAAAUUCAUGAGAAGUCAAUACACCAUCUUUGUGCUCAAAAGUUUCAAAUCGUGCUUGUUGGGCCUAGCUAGCCCAAUGACAUGAUCUUUUGGCCCGAAGGGAACGUGCUUACAUGUUAUUGGGCCUUAUAUGACCUAGUUUCGUGUAAAAGGACUUUCAAUAGCUUUAUUGUGUUGUUGGGCCCCAAGGGUCCUUUGGUACUGCUAGCAAAGUCAAGAAGUCAAAUGCGAGUCGGUCCAAGGGCCUUUCGCAUUCACGAUAGCCUUGAACGACUCAUGGAAAUAACGGGGACUUCGUACCCUCUUUUCUCCUCGGUUGUGGGGCUAUGAGAAGUCAGGGUGGUUGGAUUAAGUGAGUAGUACGGACGACGCCUAAGGGGUCGUUUGUAUAGUUGUAAACUAGUCAUUUUAUUAAUGUGUGAUUAUAACGACUCACAACCCGUAAUUAAUCCAAUGUCACCUGGAAUUAUCGAAAACAACGUCUUAUCGGAAUAAUACUAACUCAGCCACGUAAUUUAAUGUAUUGGGAAAACAUCGGGUUUUCCUGGGAAAUUCAACGCUUUUAACUAUGUGAUAUGUACAAAGUUUAACAAUUAUUCACAUUCAUAAUAAUCAACAAGCCUACUUACGGAUCUUCACACUUUUUC